rnacentral:rRNA from 1 species
AUUGAACGCUGGCGGCAGGCCUAACACAUGCAAGUCGAGCGGAUGACGGGAGCUUGCUCCUUGAUUCAGCGGCGGACGGGUGAGUAAUGCCUAGGAAUCUGCCUGGUAGUGGGGGACAACGUUUCGAAAGGAACGCUAAUACCGCAUACGUCCUACGGGAGAAAGCAGGGGACCUUCGGGCCUUGCGCUAUCAGAUGAGCCCAGGUGGGAUUAGCUAGGUGGUAGGGUAAUGGCUCACCAAGGCGAGGAUCCGUAACUGGUCUGAGAGGAUGAUCAGUCACACUGGAACUGAGACACGGUCCAGACUCCUACGGGAGGCAGCAGUGGGGAAUAUUGGACAAUGGGCGAAAGCCUGAUCCAGCCAUGCCGCGUGUGUGAAGAAGGUCUUCGGAUUGUAAAGCACUUUAAGUUGGGAGGAAGGGCAGUAAGUUAAUACCUUGCUGUUUUGACGUUACCGGCAGAAUAAGCACCGGUUAACUCUGUGCCAGCCGCCGCAGUAAGAC